GAAAUGCGAUAAGUAAUGUGAAUUGCAGAAUUCAGUGAAUCAUCGAAUCUUUGAACGCACCUUGCGCCCUCUGGUAUUCCGGAGGGCAUGCCUGUUUGAGUGUCAUUAAAUUCUCAACUUCAAUAGUUUGUAAUGGACUUGUUGAAGCUUGGAUGUGGAGGCUUGCUGGCGUCUGCUCAGCUCCUCUUAAAUGCAUUAGUGGAACCCGUUUGUUGGACCCAUUCUUGGUGUGAUAAUUAUCUACGCUUAGGUUUGUGUUCAAUGGCUCUAUUGGCUUUUCUUCAGAAUGCCUCGGUUGUAUUUCUGGUUUGGGUUUUUGCAUUAAUUUGCUUAACCUGGCUUAUUAGAGUAGGGACUAUCUGCUCUCUAACCGUCUGUGUAUACGGACAAUAACUUUGACUAUUUGACCUCAAAUCAGGUAGGACUACCCGCUGAACUUAA
rnacentral:rRNA from 1 species